GUUGCAGUUAAAAAGCUCGUAGUCGGAUUUCGGGUCGGGCCGAGCGGUCUACCGAUGGGUAUGCACUGUUCGGCGCGGCCUUCUUUCCGGAGACCGCGGCUACUCUUAACUGAGCGGGCGUGGGAGACGGAUCGUUUACUUUGAAAAAAUCAGAGUGUUUCAAGCAGGCAGCUCGCUCUUGCAUGGAUUAGCAUGGGAUAAUGAAAUAGGACUCUGGUGCUAUUUUGUUGGUUUCGAACACCGGAGUAAUGAUUAACAGGGACAGUCAGGGGCACUCGUAUUCCGUCGAGAGAGGUGAAAUUCUCAGACCAAUGGAAGACGAACCACUGCGAAAGCAUUUGCCAGGGAUGUUUUCACUGAUCAAGAACGAAAGUUAGGGGAUCGAAGACGAUCAGAUACCGUCGUAGUCUUAACCAUAAACCAUGCCGACUAGGGAUUGGAGGGUGUUCGUUUUGACCUCUUCAGCACCUUACGGGAAACUAAAGUCUUUGGGUUCCGGGGGGAGUAUGGUCGCAAGGCUGAAACUUAAAGGAAUUGACGGAAGGGCACCACCAGGAGUGGAGCCUGCGGCUUAAUUUGACUCAACACGGGGAAACUUACCAGGUCCAGACAUCGGAAGGAUUGACAGAUUGAGAGCUCUUUCUUGAUUCGAUGGUGGUGGGUGCAUGGCCGUUCUUAAUUGGUGGAGUGAUUUGUCUGGUUAAUUCCGUUAACGAACGAGACCUUAGCCUGCUAAAUAGUUCCGG
rnacentral:rRNA from 1 species